rnacentral:rRNA from 1 species
GACGAGGGAUGCAAGCGUUAUCCGGAUUCAUUGGGUUUAAAGGGAGCGUAGGCGGGUAUGUAAGUCAGUGGUGAAAUCUCAUAGCUUAACUAUGAAACUGCCAUUGAUACUGCGUACCUAGAGUACAGUUGCCGUUGGCGGAAUAUGACAUGUAGUGGUGAAAUACUUAGAUAUGUCAUAGAACACCGAUUGCGAAGGCAGCUAACGAAGCUGUAACUGACGCUGAGGCUCGAAAGUGCGGGGAUCAAACAGG